GGAGCCGGAUAUUUUAGACUAUGUUGGUAUUAUGAUGCAUUAAAUUAUUAAAAAGGAUAAAAAAAUAAUUAAAUAAAAACAACUAUAUUAUUCAUGUUUAUUCUUGAUGUAAAAGUAUUUGUAAUAUAUCUAAAUAGUAAUUACAGUUAUUCAUAUUAGGAUCUGAAAUUUAUAAAAAUUGUGAUUAGUAAAAUACAAAAAGGGGACUUCACUAGCAAAAUGUUAACAAAAUGUAUUGCUGAUUGUCAACAAAUGAAUGUAGUUAUAAAUGUUAAGAUAUUAUACUCCACUCAAACUUCACUAGUAAGCUUUGUCAAAAAAAAAAAAUUGGGACUUCACUCUUGAAGUACUGGGCAGCUGACUAGCCCAAUUAGCUUUAAUUGAGGAACUAAGAUAUAAAGGAAGAGAAAGUAAAUAGAGCUAUCAUUUAUUAAAGUUAUGAUAUGGAGAUAUAUUUGAAUUCAAUUUUUCCAUGAUUUGGCUUAAGUCCCUCUUCUUUAUUUGGAAGAAUUUGUU
rnacentral:lncRNA from 1 species